UUUCCGUAGGUGAACCUGCGGAGGGAUCAUUACAGAGUUCAUGCCCUACCGGGUAGAUCUCCCACCCUAUGUUAUUAUUACUUUGUUGCUUUGGCGGGCCGUUAGGCUCCGGCCCGACUACCGGCCCCGGCUGGUAAGCGCCCGCCAGAGGACCCAAAACCCUGAAUAUUAGUGUCGUCUGAGUACUAUAUAAUAGUUAAAACUUUCAACGACGGAUCUCUUGGUUCUG
rnacentral:misc_RNA from 1 species